rnacentral:lncRNA from 1 species
CCAAGGAGGGCCCGGAGCUCAGGAAGGAGAGCUCCCAGAAAACCUACACGUUUCUGUGUCGUGAGUUUUGGGUGCCAGAGUUUUCUGUGAUGCGGGGAAGGGCACAAUGACCGGGGCUGCUCUCAAGUACCUCAUUGACAAUUCCUUCACUGUGUCCAGUGGGGCUAGGCCCGGGGCCCAGAAGGUGGGCAUUGUCUUCACUGAUGGCCGGAGCCAGGACUACAUUAAUGAUGCUGCCAAGAAGGCCAAAGACCUCGGUAGGUGUUAUUAGGGUUAAAUGAAGCUUGCUGUACAAAGCUGCCAGUACAGGAAGUCACUAUAGGGUCUGACACAGAGCAGAACCUCAGUAAAUAUUGAUUUCCUCAUUGUCCUUGUUCCAGGCAUUGUGCUUGCAAUUCCAGCAGCUGCCAGCAGGAGGUGUCUGGUGUUGGCUGCCUAAGCCUUCCCCAGGAGGCUCAGCCAUAUUGUUGCCCAUCCCCAUGUCCAGCCUUACUUCUCCUGUUCCUCCUGGCAGGCUUUAAGAUGUUU